rnacentral:lncRNA from 1 species
ACGGGCUUGGUGGCAGACUUCAGACAUUCUGUGUAUCUUCUGAUUGUUGCCACUGCUAGUUUCUUGUCACCCACGGUGCUAGCUGUCCUGACUCUGUUCCUUCCUCACUCCACACUGCCCUUCUUUCCCGAAGUUAACAGGAGGAUAGCAGUACUGUUAGGUUGCUUUCAGCUAAAAGUAACAGAAAGUCCUUUCUUUCUUAGCUUCCAGAAUGGGGCUUCAUUAUGGGAAGUCCAGAGGGCUUCAGGAUUUACUCUGUCCAGUGGCUCUAGUUCUGCUGCCCUGUGGGUUCUUUUUGUGAGUUUCAUCUUCAGGUUGGUGGCAAGAAGAUGCUGCAUCUGGUCCCAGGCCUCAGAGCUGAGCUGGACAAUAUCCAAAGAAGAAAGAGAAGUCUUUUCUAGAAGCUUUUUGAGAAGACUGAAAAUUUCCCAGGUAACCCAGCCUCUGAGGAUUGGCAGCAAAAAUGAUCCAAGAAAGCACACCUUAAAGUAAGAUUUUUAGACAUUGAUAUCCCACACGUGGGACUAGAUGACAAGGAAGACACCAGUGCUGUUGGUAAGUGGGUCACCUAGCAUGCUGUGGUGGUGGUACUGGGCCUGCUGGGGGCAGGGAACAUUCAGGGUAUGUGUUAGAGUCUCUAGGAUUGUGAAUUAGUUAAAUGGCU